rnacentral:rRNA from 1 species
GACGAACGCUGGCGGCAUGCCUAACACAUGCAAGUCGAACGAUACCUUCGGGUCUAGUUGCGCACUGCUGGGUAACGCGUGGGAACCUGCCCUUAAGUUCGGAAUAACUCCCCGAAAGGGGUCCUAAUACCGGAUAAUGUCUUCUGACCAAAGAUUUAUCGCCUUUGGAUGGGCCCGCGGUGGUUUAGCUAGUUGGUAGGGUAAACGCAUAGCAUGGGGACGAUCCAUAGCUGGUAUGAGAGGAGGAUCAGUCACACUGGGACUGAGACACGGCCCAGACUCCUACGGGAGGGAGGAGUGGGGAAUAUUGGGAAAUGGGGGCAAGCCUGAUAAAGCAAUGCCGCGUGUGUCAUGAAGGCCUUAGGGUUGUAAAGCUCCUUUAGCCGGGACGAUAAUGACAGUACCGGGAGAAUAAGCGCCGGCUAACUCCGUG